rnacentral:rRNA from 1 species
CCUACGGGGGGCAGCAGUGGGGAAUAUUGGACAAUGGGGGGAACCCUGAUCCAGCCAUGCCGCGUGUGUGAAGAAGGCCCUCGGGUUGUAAAGCACUUUCAGUGAGGAAGAACGCCUGGUGGUUAAUACCCAUCAGGAAAGACAUCACUCACAGAAGAAGCACCGGCUAACUCCGUGCCAGCAGCCGCGGUAAUACGGAGGGUGCGAGCGUUAAUCGGAAUUACUGGGCGUAAAGCGCGCGUAGGUGGCUUGAUAAGCCGGUUGUGAAAGCCACGGGCUCAACCUGGGAACGGCAUCCGGAACUGUCAAGCUAGAGUGCAGGAGAGGAAGGUAGAAUUCCCGGUGUAGCGGUGAAAUGCGUAGAGAUCGGGAGGAAUACCAGUGGCGAAGGCGGCCUUCUGGACUGACACUGACACUGAGGUGCGAAAGCGUGGGUAGCAAACAGGAUUAGAUACCCGGGUAGUC